UGGGACUGCAGAAAGUGUGGGAGUGGUGCAYUGGCAUCAUUCAGAUGACCUCCCUGCCUUGGAGGAUUGUUAUAGGACGGUUAGGCAGAUUGGGUCAUGGGGAGCUUAAAGACUGGAGUUCACUCCUCGGGGAGCAUUCCCUCCAAUCAAUAGGACGGCAGCUGAGGGAGGCUUGUCGUGUGUGUGGGAUCUCAGCUGUUGAUUCUCCCUCCAUCCUCAGUGCCUGCUUGGUUGCCAUGGAGCCCCAGGGCUCAUUUGUGAUCAUGCCAGAUGCGGUGACCAUGGGUUCUGUGUUUGGAUGCAGCAAUGCUUUAAACCUACAGACAUCACAGCUGAACACACCUUAGGAUGCUUCCUG